CACUUCCGGCCCGCGCCGCAACUCGUGCAAGCUGGGCUGGUUUUCGGGGGCGUGGUCAGAACGCGACUUGCCCCGUGUCUGCCCCCGGGGGAAACUUAAUGCUGGUGAAAAGAAUGUGACUGAGAGUCUUAGUUUCCAGUCCUGCAACAGGAUGUGCAAGGAUGGGCCCUUACAAUCUCAUGCAGUCUUGAAGAGUGGAGCUAUGUCAGUAUCAGGUGAAGUCAGUGGGACUCCUAGCAGGACAUCCAGAGCCCACACUGAUGGCACAAGCAGAGACCUUCCCUGCAAGACAAUUAUCCAAGAAAAUUAAACUUUUGUCUAUAAAAGGCAAGUAUUUCAAACUCCAUCAACAAG